rnacentral:rRNA from 1 species
AUUGAACGCUGGCGGCAGGCUUAACACAUGCAAGUCGAGCGGGGUGAUGGUGCUUGCACUAUCACUUAGCGGCGGACGGGUGAGUAAUGCUUAGGAAUCUGCCUAUUAGUGGGGGACAACAUCUCGAAAGGGAUGCUAAUACCGCAUACGUCCUACGGGAGAAAGCAGGGGAUCACUUGUGACCUUGUGCUAAUAGAUGAGCCUAAGUCGGAUUAGCUAGUUGGUGGGGUAAAGGCCUACCAAGGCGACGAUCUGUAGCGGGUCUGAGAGGAUGAUCCGCCACACUGGGACUGAGACACGGCCCAGACUCCUACGGGAGGCAGCAGUGGGGAAUAUUGGACAAUGGGGGGAACCCUGAUCCAGCCAUGCCGCGUGUGUGAAGAAGGCCUUAUGGUUGUAAAGCACUUUAAGCGAGGAGGAGGCUCUUUUGGUUAAUGCCCAAGAUGAGUGGACGUUACUCGCAGAAUAAGCACCGGCUAACUCUGUGCCAGCAGCCGCGGUAA